UUGAAAAGGGUCCAGAAUGUGACACCCCCAAAAAAGAGACAGGGAGCAACUCCCUCAAGAAAGAGGCAACGAGCCAUCAUCAAUGAGAGCAGCAGCAAGGAGUCAUCCACUGAUGACAGUGGGUCCACUGCUUCAACUUUGAUCUUGGAAAGAUCACCACAGUCUGGAGGCAGUUCCCCAGAGGCUGAACAGUUGGAUGUACCAGCUUCAGGUUCUGGUCCUGGUGGUUCAUCUGGAAAGAGGAGACAGAGAGAGGACACUCCUGUUGACUUAACACUUCAGACUAAUUCAUCUGAAAGGCCUGAAACUUCUGACAGCCUUCAGAACCAGGCCAGACACUACGGAGUUCUGCAGGAGCUGUACAAAUCCAGGCCCAGACCCAACAAGAAGGAUGUUGCCCAACUGUUGGACCUGGAAUACCAAGCAAGACGGGCUUACAUCAACUCUGAUGUGAUGAGGGAACAGGACAAACCGACCAAGAUACUUCAAGCAUAUCCCUGCUUCAGAGAAGUGGAUCAUAUAAUGGAUGAACUGCAGCGGAUCCUCGAUCAAGGAAACUCUCACUUCAUACCCGAUCUGAAGAAGCGCUGGGGGACCUUUUGUACGAAGAUCCAGUUUUAUGGAGUUUUCAAAAAAGUCAUGAGACCUCCAGUGGCGGAUG